UUAUCCUUUCUCUGUUGAUUCAUGAACCUUAUUUUGACUUCGGUCGUCGCCGUCUUCAAGCCGCCGGUAACAGUGAUGAUGAUGAGCUGGAUCAUUAAAAGGACAUAUGAAAUCCAUGUUGGCCCCAUUCCCGCCGCUAUCAAACAUUAUAGCGUUGGCUAUGUCGAAGAAGAGGGGACCGUAGUCAACGGAAUGGCCAGUUGCAGCCGCAGAGCGAUUGGAGCGGUGGGGAUAACGGCAGAAGCGGUUGAGUAGAUAUGUCAAGUUUGUGAGCCACGGUCAGUGACUAGGAAAGUGUUAAUCUUUUCAUAAUAUAUAUAGUUUUAGAGAUAAAUGUUUCUUUUAAAAUAUAAGUUGUUUUCACAUUUAUAUAUAACUUUUUGUAUGAACAAUCAAAAUGUAUAUAAAUAUUUAUGAUCGGUUGAAUUAUACAUAAAAUAUCUAAAUAAUAGUUUGAAAAAGUUUUUUAUUUUUUAAUAUGUCUUUUAACCAAUACUACAUAUUUUUUUUAAUGAAAUAUAGGAAACAUGCAAUAUCUCCCAAAAAAACAUGCAAGAUUGAAAUGACGAAAGGGAAAUAAUUGAUUCGAAAUAGUUUAUGGUUUAGAACUUAGAAAACCAAAUUUGGUUAAAUGAAAUUUGGUUAUUGACAUUUGGUUUCGUCAUAGACAAACUCUGGAGAGACAUGAGGCACUGGAGGAGCCUCAGCUAUACCUGAAACUGCUGAUCUGAUCGGAUGGGCUAUGAGUUCUUUGACUCUCAAGGGUAAGCCAUUAGAUCAAGCGCCUCUUGCUUCUUCUUCUUCAGCACCAUCCUUAGCUUCUGCAGCCUCAAAUGCUACAAGCACAGGUACACACUUGAGAUCACUUUCCAUAAUUUUACUCUCAACCAUGAAAUUAUAAUCUUUGUCUUCUGGUCGUGGCAGAGCAGCCAAACCUGCAGCUCCCAGACUUGGUGCCCAACGCAUUAACAGAACCUCAUCUGGAAUGUAAUGAACCCUAGACAAACAGGCAUACACUGUACAUUUUUGAGAAUACAAACUAAUUAUUUGAUUUGUGAUAUCAUUCAUUUAAACCCCCAAAAUGCCUCUAAUUAUAUUAUCUUGUUUUAGUGGACUCAUCUUCAUCUACAUGUUACUCGUUAAGCUACUCAAUGCAUUGAAGAUCUCAGAGGCCAUUAGAGAAGUUACUCAACAAUAAUGAUAAGGUUUUUAACCAUUUAAAUACUUCAAAAUUUUCGUUAAGCAAAACUGCUCUCAUUACAAAACUUAAUGCCAUUGUUUGUGGUGGGGAAACGGAUUUGAUCAAGUUUUUGUUGUACUUCUACUAUUGCCACCACUCAUCUUCUUUCUCUUCUUUGGGUGUUGCCCUCUCUGGCGUUCGUCUCUUUUCC